AACGAACGCUGGCGGCAUGCCUAACACAUGCAAGUCGAACGAGACCUUCGGGUCUAGUGGCGCACGGGUGCGUAACGCGUGGGAACCUGCCCUUAGGUUCGGAAUAACUCCCCGAAAGGGGUGCUAAUACCGGAUAAUGUCUUCGGACCAAAGAUUUAUCGCCUUUGGAUGGGCCCGCGUUGGAUUAGCUAGUUGGUAGGGUAAAAGCCUACCAAGGCGACGAUCCAUAGCUGGUCUGAGAGGAUGAUCAGCCACACUGGGACUGAGACACGGCCCAGACUCCUGCGGGAGGCAGCAGGGGGGAAUAUUGGAAAAGGGGCGAAAGCCUGAUCCAGAAAUGCCGCGGGGGUGAUGAAGGCCUUGGGGUUGUAAAGCUCUUUUACCCGGGAUGAUAAUGACAGGACCGGGAGAAUAAGCCCCGGCUAACUCCGU
rnacentral:rRNA from 1 species